CCCCCCACCUACUAGUUUGACAAAAAAAAUGAAGCUUUCAUUUUUCAGUUGAUUUUACUGCAGGAAUGGAAAAACUCCUGCAUCAGCAGGAUCACAGCAUUAUUUCAGGUUGAUGAUAAAAUAUCUUCCUGCCUGGCUGACAUCUCUACCUGGAUGGCCACCCACCACCUGAAGCUCAACCUCAACAAAAAUGAGCUGCUGUUCUUCCCAUACAAGACCUCCCUACUACAUGAGCUGUCAAUCACGGUUGAUGGCACCACAGUACAGCCUCACACUGCAAAGAGCCUGGGGGUGGUCCUGGACGACCAGCUGUACCUCAAGGAGCACAUCAAGGCACCAUCACGGUCCUGCAGAUUCCUUUUGUACAACAUCAAAAGGAUUCGACCAUACCUGACUACUCACUCCACCCAGCUGCUUGUCCAAGCUAUGGUGACCUCCCGCCUUGAUUACUGCAACUCUCUCCUGGCAAGCCUGCCAGCUUGUACUAUACAGCCACUACAGAUGAUUCAAAAUGCUGCUGGCCGACUUAUUUUCAACCAUCCCGAAUUCUCCCACGUCACUCCUCUGCUGCGGUCACUCCACUGGCUACCAGAUGCUGCCAGGAUCAGGUUCAAAUUCCUGACCCUCGCCUACACUGCAGCCAACAGGACGGCCCCUAUCUACUUGCAGGACAUGAUUUGAUUCUAUGCGCCUGCUCGACCACUGAGCUCUGCAGCAGCAAGGGCGCCUUGCACCCCCUCCCACCCGAGUAAAGGGAUCAUAGAGCUUCUCCACCCUGACUCCCCAGUGGUAGAACGAACUCCCUGUCCCUCUUCAAACCUCUCCCUCACUACCUAUGUUCUACCAUGGUCUUCAGACUAUACCUAGACAAACUGCCACCACUCUGUGAAUUUUACUUUAAAUCCCCCCUUUCAUGACACUCAUGUUACAUGUACCCCCAUUCCAGAACUUUUUGUAAUUUGUAUCUGUCCUAAUAUUGUAGCUUGUUCUUCUCCCUAGUUUGGCUUGGCAUAAGUUAGGUCAGAAUAGUAUUCACUGUUGAACUGAACUGUGUUCCUGGCUAGAAAUAGCUGUACGAAAUGAGUAUCGUACCAUUGAACCUGUGUUUUGUAGUUGUCCAAUGACCAUGAUAUGCACUUUUGUACGUUGCUUUGGAUAAAAGUGUCUGCUAAAUAAAUGUAACAUAAUUGAAA